rnacentral:rRNA from 1 species
AUAUCAAUAAGCGGAGGAAAAGAAACCAACAGGGAUUGCCUUAGUAACGGCGAGUGAAGCGGCAAGAGCUCAAAUUUGAAAUCUGAUCUUUAUUGAUCCGAGUUGUAAUUUGUAGAGGAAAGUUCGGCAAAAUCUUUGAUCAAAGUUUUCUGGAACGAAACGUCAUGGAGGGUGAGAACCCCGUAAUUGAUUGAUAGAUUGCGCUAUGUGAACUUCCUUCGAAGAGUCGAGUUGUUUGGGAAUGCAGCUCAAAAUGGGUGGUAAAUUCCAUCUAAAGCUAAAUAUUGGCCAGAGACCGAUAGCGCACAAGUAGAGUGAUCGAAAGAUGAAAAGCACUUUGGAAAGAGAGUGAAACAGUACGUGAAAUUGUUGAAAGGGAAGCGCUUAUAACCAGACUUGAAUUUAAAUGUUCCACUUAUCAUUUGAUAAGUUCACUCAUUUAAAUCAGGCCAACAUCAGUUUAAAUGGUUGAAUAAAGGUUUAAGGAAUGUGGCAUUCUUAGGGAUGUGUUAUAGCCUUUUACAUAAUACAAUCAAUUUGGACUGAGGAUCGCGUUUUUGCUAGGAUGUUGGCAUAAUGGUUAUUAGCGG